rnacentral:rRNA from 1 species
UACGUAGGGGGCAAGCGUUGUCCGGAAUUAUUGGGCGUAAAGAGCUCGUAGGCGGUCUGUCACGUCGGCUGUGAAAUCCCGAGGCUCAACCUCGGGUCUGCAGUCGAUACGGGCAAACUAGAGUAUUGCAGGGGAGACUGGAAUUCCUGGUGUAGCGGUGAAAUGCGCAGAUAUCAGGAGGAACACCGGUGGCGAAGGCGGGUCUCUGGGCAAUAACUGACGCUGAGGAGCGAAAGCGUGGGGAGCGAACAGG